UGCUUGACGCGCUCUCUCUCACGGACGACUCGAAGACGACGGAACGGAGCUUCGACCUUCGGCGAUCGACAGUGUCACUUGAGGAGGAAGUCGUCGAAUCUCGACGAUACCGGCGAAGUCCAAGCCAUCUUUAGUAAUCGAUACCUAGGGCACGACUGAUCGCCUGCUUCUCGCCGGACCUUUUCUUCUUUCCUCGGCACCGCCGGUGUAGAUUUAUUCCCGGAGCCUCAAGGAUGAGCUAUCUUGUUCUUCUUUGAUUUCCCGCAAACCUCAGCGCCGAACCUUUCCUCGAUUCCUCCUCUUCCUCUUGUGGCGCUGUGCCCUAGCCGGAUCUUGGAGGUAAGGCAUCGUACUCUGUGGGUUGUUGAGAUGUUGUGUGACCGAUUCUUCUUUUCCCUUGCUCACCAGAGACGUUUGAUUGUUGAGGUAAUCUGGUGGGGGAGUCUUCUUCCGGCAGCAACCAUCUAUGGUUGAGGAUCAGCAGAAAGUGAACUGUUGAUUGCCUCUAAACCUUACGUGAGAAAGAUUCCAGCAGGGAAGUUUAGUUCUGUGGUGUUCUUUGGUCCCAUCAGCUACUCUUUCAUGGCAGUAACGAUUCUGGAUUGGGGAUCAACAGAAGGGGCUGAGCUUGAGUUAAGAUUGGGAGGCCAGGGUAUAGGGUCUCAAAGCAAUUUGAUCCAGAGACAAAACAACGGUCUCUUCUAUUUCAGGACCUUAAGAUUGUUUAAUUCAAACAAGGGAAGGAAAGGUAGAAAAAAAGGCUAUGUGGGAAGUAGUAAAGGCUCCUCGACAACAAGAUGUCAAACAAUGUGGUUAUUAUGUGAUGUGAUUUAUGAGACAAAUUGUUGAAGAAGUUGAAAUUAUCGAGAGAGAUUCCCUACGAUCUAUAUUCACACAAAAGGAGUAUUCUCGAGAAGAAAUUGAUGAGGUGCGAUCGGAGUUGGCAGAAUGUAUACAAGAUCAUAUUUAUGAGUAGAUGCGUUCAAGUUUAUCCAACCCUUUGUUUCAAAGUAUUUUGAUGUUAUUGAUCCUUCAAGGACGAACAACAAUCUUUGACAAAGUUUCAGAACAA